rnacentral:lncRNA from 1 species
CUUGCUCGGCCGUUCUAACCUCCACAGAUUUAGUAAAACCAUCAAUAAUUCUUCCCAAAUCAUCCCUGCAAACACAAGCUACAGCUGCUGUGAAGGGGGAAAGUCGAGUUUGAGAUCCGGUAAAAGAGGCAUAUUCCUCCCUAUUUUGCUCUGAGGUCGAUCUCUGUUCUUGGCUAACUUCAGAGUUUUCUUUUAGCUUGGUUGUUUUCCCCCUGUCUCCAUUGUCAGGCGUGCAAGGCACAGAGGCGAUUUCGGUUUCUUCCCACUCUACGGCAUCCUCACCUAUUUCAAGAAUGCUGGACAGAACCAGCGAAUAUUUGUUCUUUUGUUUGUAUUUGGAAGAAACAUCUGUCACGCCAUCCCUGUUGGGUCGCAACGCAGCUUCGUUUGGAGGGAGAUGUCGCUGCAAGUUACCUGAGAUUCCACCAGUCUCUUUUCUGUUCAGAUCUGGGUUGCUUUGCUGAUUUCUCGCUUCUUCUCUUUCUUUCGACUUCAAAUCUGGCCUCACCCUUUGCUCUGCAUUGUAGCUGCUAUAUGAUUUUAGUUCUGUGUCAGAGGGCACACUUUUUGGGUCUUGCUUUUUAUUUGUUGACUGAUUAUUUCUUCUGGGCAACCCAUGGGGUAGAGAUAAGGCAUAUUUAUUGUUGUUUUCACCUUGCUUCUUCUUUGUAGUAGCUAGGCCCGUGGGAUUUUGAAUCUCCUCAGAUACCAUUUUGUGUGGCCGUUCUAUCAUCACCCGUUUACCAACAUCCGAGUUAGUCAUUGUUGGCGAUAUGGCUGAGGCCUCUGGGUUGCGAGUAGAGCUAGCCAAUUGUAUGUUUCCAUGCAGGUGGAGCUGGUCAUCUUCAAUUUCCGUCCAUGAGACAUCAAGUGUUGGGGAGAAGGAGGUAUAUGAGUUGGGAGACGAGUCUUGAAAUUCUUCGCUUGUUGAUUUUGGUUCCGAGGUUGAUGCUGAAAGAUCUUCUUUACUGUACCAUGAGACCUCUUGAUUUGAGUUUAACUGUGAUCUUUCUGUGCAAGUAGGCCCGAAGGAUGCAUCUAUGUUGAUUUUGAGAACACCGGGCUUCGGGGGUUGCCAUUUGUUGUGUAAGUCGGCUUCUUUCUUCUGGUUUUUCAAUUUGGGAUUCCAAGUGGCAAAGCUGUCUUGUGAGGUAAUGGCUCUAAAAAGAGUGUGAUGGAAAUUGAGAGGACUUUUCCUAAAAAUAUGAUGAUUUCGAUCCUUCCAUAUGCACCAAAGUACAUUCGCAAGUAGUUCAAAUUCUUGAGAUGUUCUAGAGCUUGUGUGUACUUUGUAUAACCAUUCAUCAAAGCGGGUCAAGCCUACUCGAUUCACUUCAACUUGCAAGGAUGGCUCAGUCCAUAGCUGUGUGAUCCAAGGGCAUAGAAGAAAUGUGUGUUCUAUCGUCUCCGGUUCCAAACCACAUAAUGGACAUAUAGGCGCAGGUACUAUUUUUCUUCUAUACAAGUUCUCCAUUGUAGGUAAAGCAUUUUGACAAGCACUCCAUAGAAAGAACUUUAUUUUGGGUUGUAUAGACGCAUUCCAUAUAUGUUUCCAUAAUUCGGGGCUGACCUGGUAGGAUGUUGUUGGCAGUUGAUCUUGAAAAACCAUUGUAUUCUUUCUAUGCAGCAAAUAUCCACUUUUCACCGUAUACCUUCCUGAUUUAUUACUCAACCAUAUCAGUUUAUCUUCCGUUGUUGGAAGUCCGAAAGGGGUAGCUAGAAUUUCCAUCACUAUAUUUUGAUCAAACAUAGAUCGCAAUAGAUCUUCUUUCCACACAGCAUUUUCAAAAUCUAUCAACUCUGCAACCUUGGAAGGUUCAUUUCUUGCCGCGGGUCCUCCGAUUACACCCAUUUUCAGCCAUUUAUCUGUUCUGAUUGACAAAAAAGUCAGAAUUUUAGGAGAAAACGCAUAAGCUUGCACAUUAUUUCUAUUCAG